AUUGAACGCUGGCGGCAGGCCUAAUACAUGCAAGUCGAGCGGAGCGGCGGACGGGUGAGUAAUGCCUAGGAAUCUGCCUGGUAGUGGGGGAUAACGUCCGGAAACGGGCGCUCAUACCGCAUACUAUCAGAUGAGCCUAGGUCGGAUUAGCUAGUUGGUGGGGUAAAGCCCUACCAAGGCGACGAUCCGUAACGUGCCUGAGAGGAUGAUCAGUCACACUGGAACUGAGACCCGGCGCAGCCUCCUACGGAAGGCAGCAGUGGGGAAUAUUGGACAAUGGGCGAAAGCCUGAUCGAGCCAUGCUGCGUGUGUGAAGAAGGUCUUCGGAUUGUAAAGCACUUUAGGUUGGGAGGCGUUACCAACAGAGUAAGCGCCGGCUAACUUCGUGCCAGCAGCCGCGGUAAUUC
rnacentral:rRNA from 1 species